rnacentral:rRNA from 1 species
CGUAGGUGGCAAGCGUUGUCCGGAUUUAUUGGGUUUAAAGGGUGCGUAGGCGGCAUUGUAAGUCAGUGGUGAAAUAUGGCAGCUCAACUGUCAGGGUGCCAUUGAUACUGCAGAGCUUGAGUACAGAUGAGGUAGGCGGAAUUGACGGUGUAGCGGUGAAAUGCUUAGAUAUCGUCAAGAACACCGAUAGCGAAGGCAGCUUACUAGGCUGUAACUGACGCUGAGGCACGAAAGUGUGGGGAUCAAACAGGAUUAGAUACCCUGGUAGUCCACACUGUAAACGUUGAUGACUCGCUGUUGGCGAUACACGGCCAGCGGCAGAGAGAAAUCGUUAAGUCAUCCACCUGGGGAGUACGCCGGCAACGGUG